UACGAGGGGGGCGAGCGUUGUUCGGAAUUAUUGGGCGUAAAGGGUGCGUAGGCGGCCUGACAAGUCUGAUGUGAAAUCCCUGGGCUCAACCCAGGGCCUGCAUCGGAAACUGUCGGGCUUGAGUAUGGGAGAGGUGAGUGGAAUUUCCGGUGGAGCGGUGAAAUGCGUAGAGAUCGAGAGGAAGGCCAGAGGCGAAAGCGACGACCUGGGGAGGAACUGACACUGAACUACGAAAGCGUGGGGAGCAAACAGG
rnacentral:rRNA from 1 species